GUUUUACAGGAAGCUAGGUUAAAAAUGAAGGAACUGCUGAUUGCGACAUUCUUGAUCAUGUUGUCCACGUCCCUUCAAAAAGAAGGUCCUGGUGAUGUAAGUCCAGCAGAGAUAUUUGUUGCUAACUCCAAGGUGAAGGAAGGUCAACAAGUGAAAUUUAAGUGCAAAGUUACUGAUGUGAGAGCACAGAUGGUUUAUGUGCACCUCUGCGCGAGUGGUACCACAGUGAAGAUAGCAGAACUUGAACAAACUAAAAAUGAUGUAAUGUUUGUCUUUGACAAAGUUACUGUGAAAGAUUCAGGCUUGUACACCUGCGUUUAUUCUUUGGAGAAAGAUGCUGCAUGUAAGAUGAAUAUAAUAGGACGUAACUCAGCCUCACUGGAAGUUUCUGGUAAGUCAUAUUUCAACACAUAGUUUGUUCUUUAUUCAUCUUACAUUACUGAGUGCAUAUGUUUUCGGUAAACAAUCUGCUUCUACAUAGACAUUUUGCCAGCGAAGAUUACAGCAGCAAAGAGCUCUUUAAGAGAGGGUGAAGGCCUGACACUGACGUGCAGCAUCACAGGGCAUCAAAGCUGCUCUGAAGUCUAUGUUUACUUGUGUUUAAAUGGAAUCGGGAACAGAAACAGGACAGUGAACUGUAACAUUAAGUCUACUACUACAACAUUCCUUCUAAAAAAUGUCAAACAACAACAGUCUGGUAACUAUAGCUGUGUGUAUUCGACUUCUAAUUACUCUCUCAGUGAGGUGAGAAAGACUGGAGAAAACUCCAUCUAUGUUGAAGUGCAUGGUAAGGAAUGCUCUGUAAGGAUGUCCUAGAAAUUUGAUCUAUUUAUGUUCCGCUAUACAGUAUCUAAGAAUACAAUAUAUAUUCUAUAUUUUUUUACUUUUCAGACCUUAUAUCUGAAGAUGGAGGGCUGUCUAAUGCUAUAAUACUUUUAAUAGUUGCAGUAGCAUUUGCACUGGGAAUAUUUAUGUUUUUACCAUGCCGACACAUUAUUACGUUGAGUAAGUACAGUGUGAUUGCCAGCCUCACCACACAUAACAUUUAGAUAAAUGUGUCAUUAACUAUGCUUUAUCAAAUUCUUUGGAUGAAAAAGGCCACUUUAUUUAAUUCACGAUCACCACAGACAUAGACACAAACUUUAUCUUCCAAUUCUCUUCAUAUAUUGUCACGUCCAAAACCAAAAAAAUGAAUCUCCAAAAUAGCAACUUUACAGGAGAAGGCAAAAUACCUUUUACUUUUAAUAUAAGUUAGUGUAAUCCAAGCAAUUUUGAAGCAUUUCUUUUGGUCACCAUG
ensembl:lncRNA